AGAUGUAUAGCUCAGUAGUAAAGGGCGUGCUUAUCAGGCACAGGGUCCUGGGUUGAAUCCCCAGUACCUCCA
rnacentral:tRNA from 1 species